AGCUCUAGUCAGUCAAUUAAACACAGAAUCUGGUUGUCUUCACCAUGACUUGGACACCAUUACUCCUCAUCUUCCUUAAUCAUCUAACAGGGUCAUAUACCCAGUUUGUGCUAAAUCAGACAAGCUCUGUGUCUGGGUCUCUUGGGAGCACAGUCACCAUCUCCUGCAAGUGCAGCAGUGGUAACAUUGAAAGCAACUCCUCCAACUCAGUCUUGCUGACAAUCACUGAUCUGAAGUUUGAUGAUGAGGCUAACUACUACUGCCAGUCUUAUGAAAGUAGUAGCUCUGAUCACAGUGAUGAGAAUCAGGGGGAAGUAAGACAAAAACUCCAUAGAGUACCAGCUGUGAAAUCACUUGUAAAAAAGACUAUUGUUGUUUCAUGUCUCCUGUAAAAGCACUGCUUUUGGGAUUGCCACGUGAUAAUUUCCUCUAGGUUCAGUGUAAGAUUCUACUUUCUCCUCCCUCAUAGGGUGGCUGAGCUCUUUACACAUAUAGGGUUGAUCCAUGUAGUAUGAACAGGAAUUAUGGAGGGCAAUAUUACUGACAUUUUGUGUCAUAGACUUCUUACAUGUGUGAUGUGUUUAGCAUCAUCUGUGACCAUGAGUCACUUGUGUAUUUUAAUAUUUUCCCUUCUUUAUGACAUCACUAACUCUCUGUAGUGCAAAAUUUCACAUGGGAAAUGUGACACUUGGGUGAAGCCACCGUUUCAAGAGGUUGUUCA